rnacentral:sRNA from 1 species
AAACCGCAAGCUGAUCUUAAAAGCCUAAGUUGUGUUUCCUUGUUAGAAGACACAAAGCCAAAGACUCAUAUGGACUUUGGCUACACCAUGAAAGCUUUGAGAAGCAAGAAGAAGGUUGGUUAGUGUUUUGGAGUCGAAUAUGACUUGAUGUCAUGUGUAUGAUUGAGUAUAAGAACUUAAACCGCAACCCAAUCUUAUAAGCCUAAGUAGUGUUUCCUUGUUAGAAGAUACAAAGCCAAAGACUCAUACGGACUUUGACUACACCAUGAAAGCUUUGAGAAGCAAGAAGAAGGUUAGUUAGUGUUUUGGAGUCGAAUACGACUUGAUGUCAUGUGUAUGAUUGAGUAUAACAACUUAAACCGCAACCCUAUCUUAAAAGCCUAAGUAGUGUUUCCUUGUUAAAAGACACAAAGGCAAAGACUCAUAUGGACUUUGGCUACACCGUGAAAGCUUUGAGAAGCAACAAGAAGGUUGGUUAGUGUUUUAGAGUGAAUAUGACUUGAUGCCAUGUGUAAGAUUCAUUAUAACAACUUAAACCGCAACCUGAUCUUAAAAGCCUAAGUAGUGUUACCGUGUUAGAAGACACAAAGCCAAAGACUCAUAUAGACUUUGGCUACACCAUGAAAGCUUUCAGAAAGGUUG